GUGAGCCGAGCGAGCGCCGCGCUCCGCCGGCGCCCAGCCGAGCCCCGCCGUGCUGUAGCCGCCCAGGGGCGGCGGGCGGGGAAGCGACGCCCGCCGCGCACGCACCUGCCCCGCGGCCUCAGCACGCCGGCCGGCCCCUGACUCCAUGGCCGCUGUCUGCCCUAGCCGGCUGACCCCUGUCCCGCGGCGGGGACCUCCCUCCCCCGGCCAGCGCGCACUUUCCGCGCCGCUGGCAGUGCUCCGCCGGGGGUGGCUCCCCUGAGGCCGCGGCGCUUCCCUUCGUCCGGGUCUCCUGGGCGGCCCGGUCUGCCCGCGACGGAGCCUUCGGGCCGGUCGCCGCGCCUUCCCCCGCGACCCGCAUGCGGGUCGCGGGGAAAGGCGCGGCGACCGGCCCGAGGGCAGGAGCGGAGACGGUGCGCGGUGAGGCCGAGGCCGCGCAGGAGACCCGGCACCACCCGGCGUGGGACCACGGGAGGCCAGCCCAGCCCGGUGCUGCGGGCGGCGUGGCGGUGGAGACUCGGCGGGACCCGAGAGAAGCUGUCGUCCUGAGGGAGAAGGUGUUGCUCACCAGCCGUAACCUGCCUCGCUGCAAAGCAGCAGCUCCCGCCAGAUGCGCUGCAGCUCGGCAGGAGCCAUGUGCCAGGCCCCACCAGCACCCACCUGCCUCACCCAACAGGCUGGGGCUCCCCGCUGGGCACCAACCCUGGCGUGUGCGUCUUUCAGAACGUACCUCUCCUCCUAGAGUUAGACUGAAGUGCAGACAUAGCGGAAUUUAAACCCAGUUUUCAGUUUUCCCGUCCUUAAAACUUAACAUAGCCGUCACUGAGAAUGUGAGAUACAUGGCAAAGUCAGUUCUGGAACAAAGCCUUUUAAUUUAUGCGUGUAACUUAGGUAUAAGAGUUACUUAGAUUACUUAAAAAGUCAUGGUUUGCAGAUACAUUGCAUUCUGUAUAUAUAAAGAAGCAUAUUCAUCAGCCAGGCAUGGCACUCAUUUUGUGGUUGCUGUGUGGAGACAUCCUGGCCAUCUACUAACCUACUUUCUCCUCUAUUUGAGAAAGGCAGGAAUAGACUACUAAUGUUGUGUGGCAGAUCUGGCAGAUAUUACCAAUUCUGUCUCUUCCUUUUAAAGUGACAUCUGUCAAAUUAUCUAAGUUCUUCACCUCCCACAAGUAUACAGCAUAGCUGCAAGUUUCUUAGCAAUUUGGUAUUACCUUGAAGUAAAAAGUAGUAUAUUUACUUGCUAAAUAAGUUUGUUCCAGGACAUAUAUUUAGUAACAGUUAUACAUGGGGGAGAGGGGGAGGGGAGGGCAGGGAAAAGUGAUCUGAUACUUUAGCUGAGACUUACUUGGUUUUAAGGUCUUGAUCCUAGAGAAGACUUCUCAGGCUUUACCUAAGGAAGUUAUACCAGGAAAUUGCUAGUACUUAGGCAUGAAGCAAACCAGUGCUAGUUCACUGAAUGCGAUAUUAAUAUUUAGCAGCUGGCAUAGAAACUUCUUGCAAGGUUAAAAACAAAACAUACUUAUAAUCCUACAAUCCAGUUGAUAGCCUAAGUGAAUGUGCACCUCAUUUACUGAUGAGUUUAUCCUGCUGCAGUAUGCUGCUCUUAAAAUCUGUCAAGUAAGAAGCAAUAAGUUACAGAAAUUGAGUCUCUUUGUUUAUACUCAUUUGCAUCCACUUAAUGCAAACCCCGGCUACCCUUACCAAAACAUACAUAAACAAGCAUUCUU
rnacentral:lncRNA from 1 species